UUUUUUUUUUUUUUUUUUGAGACAGAAUCUUGCUCUGUCUUCCAGGCUGAGUGCAGUGGCAUGAUCAUAGCUCACUGCAGCCUUGAACUCCUGCCCUCAAGGGAUCCUCCUGCAUCAGCCUUCUCCUGAGUAACUGAGACUACCAGCACCCUGCUCAACUAAUUCUUUUAUUUUUAUUUAUUUUUUUUUUUGGUAGUGAUGGGGUUUUGCUAUGUUGCCUAGGCUGGUCUUGAACUCCUAGCCUCAAGCGAUCCUCCUGCCUCAGCCUCCCAAAAUACUGGGAUUACAUACAUAAGCCACUGUGCCUGGCUCAAUACUUUAAAAAAAGAAAACAAAAACAAACAAAAAAAACUUUCACUAGUUAUUUGCUUGAACAAUCUAGAAUCCACCAGCCUGAGUAAAUAUGGCCUUACAGAACAAAAAUUUUAUCAUUGCCUACAAUCCUGAAACGUUUAAACAUGUUGUACAACCCCAGUCUUCAAAGAAAUGUACAUUAAAACAGCAUUGUAACACUAAUCUUUUACCUAUCAUUUUAUCAAAAGUUACAAAGAAUAACUGGUGUGAAAAUGGUGGGUUUAGCUGGGCGCGGUAGCUCACGCCUGUAAUCCCAGCACUUUGGGAGGCCGAGGCGGUUGGAUCACAAAGUCAAGAGUUUGGGACCAUCCUGGCCAACACAGUGAAACCCCAUCUCUACUAAAAAAUACAAAAAUUAGCUGGGCAUGGUGGUGGGUGCCUGUAAUCUCAGCUACUAGGGAGGCUGAGGCAGGAGUAUCACUUGAACCCAGGAAGCAGAGCUUGCAGAGAGCUGAGAUUGAGCCACUGCAGUCCAGCAGUCCAGCCUGGCGACAGAGCGAGACUUUGUCUCCAAAAACAAACAAACAAAAAAAACAAAAAAAAAGGGGGUUUAAAAAAAGAGGUAACCACGUAAAUUGAAAAAAAAAAAAAAUCAGAGAACAAUUUGACAAUAUGCACCAAAAGCCUUUAAAAACACUUUAACUCUGCUAUUUCAUUUUUAAGAAUUUAUCUUAGGAAAUAAUGAGACAAAUGAGAAAUGCUGAAGGUAAAAAGCUGUUCAUUGAACUUUCUUUCUUGUGCUAGCAUAAGAACAAAUAAAGCAAACCGAUAAAACUUAGACUCCACCUAAAUAUCCAAUAUUAAAUAACUGGUCAAAUCGGGUAUAGUACCUUCCUAGCAAGUGCACUUGUUUUCUGUUGUUGCUGUAACAAAUUACUACAAACUUAGUGGCUUAAUGCAGUACCCAUUUAUUAUCUCACAGUUCUGUAGGUCAAAAGACCAAGGAGGCUUAACUAGGUUUUCGGCUUAGGUCUCCCAGGGCGAAAAUGAAGGUAUCUGCCUAGCCGAGUUCUUAUUUGACGAGUGUGGGGAAGAAUCUACUUCCAAGUUCUUUCAGGUUCUUGGAAAAAUUCAGUUCCUCGCAGUUACUGAGGUCCCUCUUUCACUGCUGCCUGUCAGCCAGGGUCCACCC
rnacentral:lncRNA from 1 species